CUACGGGGGGCAGCAGUGGGGAAUCUUGGACAAUGGGCGCAAGCCUGAUCCAGCCAUGCCGCGUGAGUGAUGAAGGCCUUAGGGUCGUAAAGCUCUUUCGCCAGGGAUGAUAAUGACAGUACCUGGUAAAGAAACCCCGGCUAACUCCGUGCCAGCAGCCGCGGUAAUACGGAGGGGGUUAGCGUUGUUCGGAAUUACUGGGCGUAAAGCGCGCGUAGGCGGACCAGAAAGUUGGGGGUGAAAUCCCGGGGCUCAACCCCGGAACGGCCUCCAAAACUCCUGGUCUUGAGUUCGAGAGAGGUGAGUGGAAUUCCGAGUGUAGAGGUGAAAUUCGUAGAUAUUCGGAGGAACACCAGUGGCGAAGGCGACUCACUGGCUCGAUACUGACGCUGAGGUGCGAAAGUGUGGGGAGCAAACAGGAUUAGAUACCCCUGUAGUC
rnacentral:rRNA from 1 species